rnacentral:tRNA from 1 species
UGGGAUGUAGCCAAGCGGUAAGGCAACGGUUUUUGGUAUCGUGACGCGCAGGUUCGAAUCCUGCCAUCCCAG